CAAGGCCUUUACUGACGCUAAAGCUCGAAGGUGCGGGUAUCGAACAGGAUUAGAUACCCUGGUAGUCCGCACGGUAAACGAUGGAUGCCCGCUGUUGGCGAUACAAUGUCAGCGGCCAAGCGAAAGCGUUAAGCAUCCCACCUGGGGAGUACGCCGGCAACGGUGAAACUCAAAGGAAUUGACGGGGGCCCGCACAAGCGGAGGAACAUGUGGUUUAAUUCGAUGAUACGCGAGGAACCUUACCCGGGCUUGAACUGCAGCAGAACGAUUCAGAGAUGAAGAGGCCCUUCGGGGCUGCUGUGGAGGUGCUGCAUGGUUGUCGUCAGCUCGUGCCGUGAGGUGUCGGCUUAAGUGCCAUAACGAGCGCAACCCCUUUCAUUAGUUGCCAUCAGGUAAUGCUGGGCACUCUGGUGAUACUGCCACCGUAAGGUGUGAGGAAGGUGGGGAUGACGUCAAAUCAGCACGGCCCUUACGUCCGGGGCUACACACGUGUUACAAUGGGUGGUACAGAGAGUCAGUGGGUCGCAAGUCCCAUUCAAUCAUGAAAGCCAUCCUCAGUUCGGAUUGGGGUCUGCAACCCGACCCCAUGAAGCUGGAUUCG
rnacentral:rRNA from 1 species